CGACAUAAGUUAUAAAUAGAAAAUGAUAAGUUAAUUCAUCGUAAUGAUUGACAUUUAAUAUGAAUAGAAGGAUUGUUGUUAUGGCGAAUAUGAGGAUGUUACUUUAAAAAGAGAUUAUGAAAUUGUAUACAUUUUGUACUUUUUAUAAAGUAAGAGGACAGUCAGGUUGUGUUGAACUUUCAAAAGUGUCAUAACAUUCAUGAUGUCUACUUUCUGGCUAAUUCUGGUUAUAGGGUGUUUACUUGGUGAACUAUUUUCAUUCAGAACCCAAUCAAGAAGCGAUUCAAAAAAGACCAGUCCACAAGAUUCCCAAAUACCUCCGAUCACGCAUUUAAAGAGGAUAUUGGUGAAAUCAAGGCUAAAAAUGUUAGACGAAAGAAACAGUGCGGCAGAUUCAAAAAUAGAAAAAGAGGUGAAUUUUCGUGGAAGUAAUGGUUAUUAUAGCUGUGGAGAGGAUGGAUGUAAAGUAAAACACCAAAUAAGACGAGGUCCAUUUGGUUGUAAUAGAAGAACAGGUUGCGGCGGGUAAAA